CACAAAAAAGCAAACAAACAUGGAAUGAAACCACAUGGAAAGACAAAGGUUAAUGUGUUUGAUUUGUUUAUUGAGGGAAGGGUUUUCUCAUUUGAUGUAUAUCGCCUCGUUAAAUUAAACCGAAAGGUUGAAAACUGAUUGGAAUUUAGUAACUAUCCCUGAUUGUUUUUAUCGUAGGAAGAUGGGGUUAGAAACUAUCUGGAGGGGAUCUCAUACUUCUUCAUUACACUUAAGGAUGCCUGCAAAUCUUCAGAAGUCGACACGUUCUUCCUUCACUGCCAUACCCUUUAUUGUCGGCAUCAAGAUCCCACAAAUAGACCCGACAACAGGAACUAAACAGCAUAAAGACAAACAGAAAGACAAUGUUUACACACUGAUGAAUGCAAAAGAUACUUCUUCAACACUACAACGCCAAUAAUCCCUCCAAGACCCUCCAUCAGGAACCUAAGGGCAGUGUAUGCUCCAAGGAGUGUAGGAGAAAGACUUAUU